rnacentral:rRNA from 1 species
GAUGAACGCUGGCGGCGUGCCUAAUACAUGCAAGUCGAGCGAACAGACGAGGAGCUUGCUCCUCUGACGUUAGCGGCGGACGGGUGAGUAACACGUGGAUAACCUACCUAUAAGACUGGGAUAACUUCGGGAAACCGGAGCUAAUACCGGAUAAUAUAUUGAACCGCAUGGUUCAAUAGUGAAAGACGGUUUUGCUGUCACUUAUAGAUGGAUCCGCGCCGCAUUAGCUAGUUGGUAAGGUAACGGCUUACCAAGGCAACGAUGCGUAGCCGACCUGAGAGGGUGAUCGGCCACACUGGAACGGGGACACGGUCCAGACUCCUACGGGAGGCAGCAGUAGGGAAUCGUCCGCAAUGGGCGAAAGCCUGACGGAGCAACGCCGCGUGAGUGAUGAAGGUCUUCGGAUCGUAAAACUCUGUUAUUAGGGAAGAACAAAUGUGUAAGUAACUAUGCACGUCGUGACGGUACCUAAUCAGAAAGCCACGGCUAACUACGUG